GAUGAACGCUGGCGGCGUGCCUAAUACAUGCAAGUCGAGCGAACAGACGAGGAGCUUGUUCCUCUGACGUUAGCGGCGGACGGGUGAGUAACACGUGGAUAACCUACCUAUAAGACGGGGAUAACUUCGGGAAACCGGAGCUAAUACCGGAUAAUAUAUUGAACCGCAUGGUUCAAUAGUGAAAGACGGUUUUGCUGUCACUUAUAGAUGGAUCCGCGCGGCAUUAGCUAGUUGGUAAGUUAACGGCUUACAAAGGCAACGAUGCGUAGCCGACCUGAGAGGGUGAUAGGCCACACUGGAACUGAGACACGGCCCAGACUCCUACGGGAGGAAGCAGAGGGGAAUCUUCCGAAAUGGGGAAAAGCUUGACGGGGCAACGCCGCGUGAGUGAUGAAGGUCUUGGGAUCGUAAACCUCUGUUAUUAGGGAGGACCAAAUGUGUAAGUAACUGUGCACGUCUUGACGGUACCUAAUCAGAAAGCCACGGCUAACUACGUG
rnacentral:rRNA from 1 species